CCUACGGGAGGCUGCAGUGGGGAAUAUUGGACAAUGGGGGGAACCCUGAUCCAGCCAUGCCGCGUGUGUGAAGAAGGCCCUCGGGUUGUAAAGCACUUUCAGUGAGGAAGAACGCCUGGUGGUUAAUACCCAUCAGGAAAGACAUCACUCACAGAAGAAGCACCGGCUAACUCCGUGCCAGCAGCCGCGGUAAUACGGAGGGUGCGAGCGUUAAUCGGAAUUACUGGGCGUAAAGCGCGCGUAGGUGGCUUGAUAAGCCGGUUGUGAAAGCCCCGGGCUCAACCUGGGAACGGCAUCCGGAACUGUCAAGCUAGAGUGCAGGCGAGGAAGGUAGAAUUCCCGGUGUAGCGGUGAAAUGCGUAGAGAUCGGGAGGAAUACCAGUGGCGAAGGCGGCCUUCUGGACUGACACUGACACUGAGGUGCGAAAGCGUGGGUAGCAAACAGGAUUAGAUACCCUGGUAGUC
rnacentral:rRNA from 1 species